GUCUCUCCUUGUGCUUGACUUUGACUUUAAUCAUGAUCAGUUUCUCCAUCUUCUUGCUUUUGUUAGUCCUCUCUUAAGUUCAACGAUAAUCAUUUGACUUAUGGGUUCACUGAAGAAGGAAGGAGAGAUGGAGCAGAUCGGAGACGAGUUUACGGAGGCGAUACUGUACGUCAAUGGCGUUCGUAGAGUGUUACCUGAUGGCCUUGCUCAUAUGACACUUCUUGAAUAUCUCAGAGAUUUAGGACUGACCGGGACAAAGCUGGGGUGCGGUGAAGGUGGUUGUGGGGCUUGCACGGUGAUGGUCUCUAAUUAUGACAGAACAUCAAACAAAUGCAUACACUAUGCUGUCAACGCUUGUUUAGCACCUCUCUAUUCCGUAGAAGGAAUGCAUGUAAUAUCCAUUGAGGGAGUUGGUCAUCGCAAACACGGCUUGCACCCACUUCAGGAGUCAUUGGCAUCUUCUCAUGGUUCACAAUGUGGGUUUUGCACUCCCGGGUUCGUCAUGUCCAUGUAUGCGUUACUGAGGUCUAAUAAAACCCCACCUUCUGAAGAGGAGAUCGAAGAGUCUCUCGCAGGAAACUUAUGUCGCUGUACUGGUUACAGACCCAUUGUUGAUGCCUUUCGGGUUUUCGCAAAAACUAAUGAUGCUCUAUACAGUGGCUUAUCUUCACUUAGCCUCCAAGACGGUUCAAGUAUUUGCCCAUCUACUGGUAAACCUUGUUCAUGUGGUGACGGUAGAUUCCAGCCCAUCUCUUAUAGUGAUACAGAUGGGGCUAAGUAUACGGAGAAGGAGCUUAUCUUCCCUCCUGAGCUUUUACUGAGGAAGUUAGCUCCUCUGAAGUUGAGAGGAGAUGGAGGGAUGAUAUGGUACAGACCCGUGAGACUUCAGUACUUGCUCCAUCUCAAGGCAAAACAUCCUGAAGCAAAGCUACUGGUAGGUAACACUGAGGUGGGAAUCGAAAUGAGGCUGAAGAGGUUACAGUAUCAGGUGUUGAUAUGCGUUGGUCAAGUCCCAGAACUUAACACAGUGAAUGUUAAUGACAAUGGUGUAGAGAUUGGUUCAGCUUUGAGACUUUCUGAGCUCCUGAAACUAUUCAGGAAGGUUGUAAAGGAGCGUCCUGCACAUGAGACAUCAGCUUGCAAGGCUUUUAUUGAGCAGCUGAAGUGGUUUGCUGGGACACAGAUAAGAAACGUUGCUUCCGUUGGUGGGAACAUAUGUACAGCUAGUCCUAUAUCUGAUCUAAACCCUCUUUGGAUGGCUUCAAGAGCAGAGUUCAAGAUAAUCAACUGCUACGGAGACGUUAGGUCGGUACGUGCAAGAGAUUUCUUCAGUGGCUACCGUAAAGUGGAUAUGGAGAGCAACGAGAUCUUGUUGUCAGUGUUGAUACCGUGGACGAGGCCUUUGGAGUAUGUGAAAGAGUUUAAACAGGCCCACCGUAGAGAGGAUGAUAUAGCUAUCGUCAACGGUGGAAUGCGUGUGUUUCUCGAAGAGAGAGGUGGAGAGCUGUUCGUUUCUGAAGCAAUAGUUGCUUUUGGUGGUGUGGCUCCGGUUACUUUGCGUGCAAGAAAGACUGAGGAGUUUCUGAUUGGAAAGAGUUGGAGCAAAGGUCUUCUUCAAGAUGCGUUGAAGGUUAUACAAAGUGAUGUGUUAAUUGAUGAAGACGCUCCUGGUGGUAUGGUGGAGUUUCGGAAGUCUCUAGUCCUAAGCUUCUUCUUUAAGUUCUUCUUAUGGGUUACUCAUCAUUUACGCGAUGUAAAGCAAGCUUUAGAGACUUUCCCACCCUCUUAUACGUCAGCUGUGCAAUCGUUUGCUCGGCCAUGUAGAGCUGGAAGACAAGACUAUGAGACAGUAAGACAAGGAACAGCUGUUGGCUUGCCGGAAGUCCAUCUUUCAGCAAGAAUGCAGGUCACAGGGGAAGCAGAAUAUACUGAUGAUACUCCAGUGCCUCCUAAUACCUUGCAUGCUGCUUUAGUGCUAAGCAAAAUGCCACAUGCUCGCAUAAUUUCUAUUGAUGAUUCAGAAUCCAAAUCUUCACCUGGUUUUGCUGGUCUGUUUCUUGCCAAAGACGUUCCAGCAGAUAAUAAGAUUGGACCUGUGGUAGCUGAUGAAGAAUUAUUUGCUACAGAUGUGGUCACAUGUGUGGGACAAGUCAUUGGUGUGGUUGUUGCGGAUACACAUGAAAAUGCAAAAGCUGCAGCAGGAAAAGUUGAAGUUGAGUAUGAAGAGUUACCAGCAAUAUUAUCAAUCAAGGAGGCUAUUGCUACUAAAAGUUUCCACCCAAACACAGAGAAAAUGCUAAAGAAAGGAGAUGUAGAGAUAUGCUUUCAGUCAGGUCAGUGCGAUAGGAUAAUAGAAGGAGAGGUUCAAAUGGGCAGCCAGGAACACUUUUACAUGGAGCCUCAUGGUAGUUUGGUUUGGACAAGUGAUGGAGGCAACGAAGUUCAUAUGAUCUCAUCCACUCAAGAUCCUCAUAGGCACCAGCUAUAUGUUUCUCAUGUUCUUGGACUUCCAAUGUCUAAAGUGGUAUGCAAAACCAAAAGAAUUGGUGGUGGCUUUGGUGGCAAGGAAACGAGAUCAGCCUUCAUAGCUGCUGCUGCUUCUGUUCCUUCCUACCUAUUGAACCGACCAGUGAAACUCAUACUGGACAGAGACGUGGACAUGAUGAUAUCUGGUCACCGUCAUAGUUUUGUUGGAAAGUACAAGGUUGGGUUUACAAAUGAAGGAAAAGUUUUGGCGUAUGACCUUGAAAUCUACAACAACGGUGGAAACUCUUUGGAUCUUUCCCAAGCUGUUCUUGAGAUUGCAAUGUUUAACUCUGAUAAUGUCUAUGAUAUCCCACAUGUGAGGAUCAGAGGGAACGUUUGCUUUACUAACUAUCCUAGCAACACUGCUUUCCGAGGCUUUGGAGGUCCACAAGGCAUGCUUAUAACUGAAAAUUGGAUCCAUAGAAUCGCAGCUGAACUUGAUAGAAGCCCUGAAGAAAUCAGAGAGAUGAACUUUCAAGUGGAAGGCUCUAUCACACAUUACUCUCAGUGUAUUCAGCAUUGCACACUGCAUCAGCUUUGGAAGGAGCUGAAAGUGUCUUGCAACUUUCUAAAGGCUCGUACAGAAGUUGAUGAGUUUAAUAGCCAUAACCGGUGGAAAAAGCGUGGUGUGGCUAUGGUUCCUACAAAGUUUGGCGUAUCAUUUACCAAAACGUUCAUGAACCAGGCAGGUGCUCUUGUGCAUGUGUACACAGACGGUACUGUUUUGGUGACACAUGGAGGAGUAGAGAUGGGUCAAGGAUUGCAUACAAAAGUUGCUCAAGUUGCUGCGUCUGCCUUUAACAUUCCCCUUAGUUCCGUUUUUGUAUCAGAGACAAGCACCGACAAGGUUCCAAAUGCGUCACCAACCGCUGCUUCUAUGAGCUCUGACAUGUACGGUGCUGCGGUUUUGGACGCUUGUGAGCAGAUUAAAGCACGAAUGGAACCUGUUGGUUCUAAACUCAGUUUCAACUCUUUUGCUGAGCUGGCAAGCGCAUGCUAUUUUCAACGAAUAGACCUCUCGGCUCAUGGCUUUUACAUUGUUCCCGACGUUGGCUUUGACUGGAUCUCUGGUAAAGGAGACCCUUUCAGAUAUUACACCUAUGGAGCUGCAUUUGCGGAAGUUGAGAUCGAUACAUUAACCGGUGACUUUCACACAAGAACGGUCGAUAUAAAGUUGGACCUGGGAUAUUCUCUUAACCCAGCCAUAGAUAUUGGACAAAUAGAAGGAGCAUUCGUACAAGGGUUAGGUUGGGUAGCUCUAGAAGAAGUGAAAUGGGGAGAUGCAUCUCAUAAAUGGAUUAAACCGGGGAAUCUACUCACUUGCGGACCUGGAAACUACAAGAUACCUUCCAUUAACGACAUUCCCUUCAACUUCAAUGUUUCUCUUCUCAAGGGGAAUCCAAACUCAAAGGGGAUACAUUCGUCCAAAGCGGUUUGGUGAGCCUCCGUUUUCUUUGCGAUUAAAGAUGCGAUCAAAGCGGCUAGAGCCGAGAGCAAAUGGUUUUCUUUGGACACUCCUGCGACUCCAGAACGCAUCAGGAUGGCUUGCCUCGAUGAGUUUACUUCUCCUUUUGUGAGUUCAGAUUUCAUCCCUAAGCUAAUUAGUGUUUGAGACAUGAGGAUGAUAAUCUCACAGGGUUUCCCAACAUAAGCACUAACGUUUGCACGAAGUUGUGUUUAUACAUAAGUGCUGUUUUGAAUAUAAUAUAUGUCGUAAAGUAUCAUCCCUUAUGUUACGAUCUUUAAUGUGAAUGUGACCCAUCAUCAUCCCUUACAUUACAUUCAUAUGGACGAAGAUGAAACCUGCAGUGGUUGCAACUUGUUACAAUCAUUAUGAAGCAAAAGUGUAAGGAGUUUUGGCGCAUAGAGAAACUGAGCACUUAUUAUUCUCACUUGCCACCAUCCCAUAUAAUAACAAUUUAUACGAGAAAACAAAAACUUCCCAUUAGUUGGGUUGUCAGUUUCCGUCCUAAAUAUAAUUAACUAAUCAAUAAUGAUAACUAUUUUAAAAUAACUAUCGAUUUAUUUAUUUUUACGGAUCAAAUCGGAUAUCCGGUUAAAAAUAAAAAAAAUUCUGGAUAUCCAAAUACCUCCAAACCCCCCCCCCCCA